rnacentral:rRNA from 1 species
GACGAACGCUGGCGGCGUGCUUAACACAUGCAAGUCGAACGGAAAGGCCCUGCUUUUGUGGGGUUCUCGAUUGGCGCACGGGUGAGUAACACGUGAGUAUCCUGCCCUUGUCUUUGGGAUAACUUCACGAAACUGGGGCUAAUACCGGAUAGGAGCUCCUGCUGCAUGGUGGGGGUUGGAAAGUGUCGGCGGUGCUGGCUCGACUCGCGGCUUACCCGCUUGUUGGUGUGGUAGGUGCUUACCAAGGCUUUGACGGGUAGCCGGCAUGAGAGGGGUACCGGCGACAAUGGGCCUGAGAGACGGCGCAGACGCCAACGGGAGGCAGCAGUGGGGAAUCUUGCACAGUGGGCGGGAGCGUGAUGCAGAGACGCCGCGUGCGUGAUGCUGGCCUUCGGGUUGUAAACCGCUUUCGCCUGUGACGAAGCGUGAGUGACGGUAAUGAGUAAAGAAGCACCGGCUAACUACGUG